rnacentral:rRNA from 1 species
UACGAAGGGGGCUAGCGUUGCUCGGAAUCACUGGGCGUAAAGCGCACGUAGGCGGAUCUUUAAGUCAGGGUGAAAUCCCAAGGCUCAACCUUGGAACUGCCUUUGAUACUGGGGAUCUCGAGUCCGGAAGAGGUUGGUGGAACUCCGAGUGUAGAGGUGAAAUUCGUAGAUAUCGGAAGAACACCAGUGGCGAAGGCGGCCAACUGGUCCGGCACUGGACGCUGAGGUGCGAAGCGUGGGAGCAAA